rnacentral:lncRNA from 1 species
AGUUUUAGAAGUUUAGUCCAUGGUUAUCAUGGCGGGAAGCAGACAGGCGUGGUGCUAGAACAGUAGCUGAGCUGGAUACAUCCCAAUCACCAGACACACAGAGAGGGGGGAGGGGAGGGAGAGAGAGAGAGAAAGAGAGAGAGAGGGAGGGAGAAAAGGAGGGAAGGAGAGAGGGAGAGGGAAGCUUUUGUAACCUUAAAGCCCACCCCAAGUGACACACUUCCCCCAACAAGGCCACGCCUCCUGAUCCUUCUCAAACAGUUCCACCAAGUGGGGUCUAAGCACAGGCUGUAGACAGCCAGUGUGGCGAUGGGUAUGGGUGUAGCAGAUGUGAGCUGCUUGCCUUUGCUGGUCCCAAAUAUGCUUCCAUGAAGGUCCUGGAUGUUUUUUUCCUCACAUUUCUAGAAGUAGAAUUUUUUUUUUCUUUUUGGUCCUGGGUAUAGCACCUGGGGUGUUUUGAAUGCUAGCAUUCAAAGUUCUGACCUCUCUCACCGAUGACAUCUACAGCCCGGUGUAAUUUAUUUACUUGAAAUGUGCUGUGUUCUGGUGUUGGCGGUAGUUACAAGGAAGCCCACUUUUGUAAGGUCCUUUUCUUUCCUUUUGUAAUUCCUUAAGCAUUUGUUUUGUAUGCUCAUGGGUAAACAUCUCCCAAUAAAAAGAUUUCAGAAAU